GGGCUCUUGAGUUUCCGUAGGUACAGUUUCUGUCAGGAGGUGAGGUCUCCAGGCUGCAUCUUCUCCGUGGGAGGAUGUGGGGAAGAACUAACCCUUCGCACUGUCGUUUACCCAUCAGUGUCUCAGGGACCAGUGGCUUCUCCGGGAUUGUGCUGAGAAAGUUGGCUCUGCUGUGUCCGUGUUCACCUUUGUUCCGGUUAAGCAGAGGGUUUUGUUUUGCUUUAUUACUUCUCUUCAACGGCUUCCAUUUCCACAGACUCACUGCUAACCCUACUCACUGUUAACUAUAAAAUGUCGUUAAGAGCAGAGGACGACUUCAGUUCUAAAGUGACACGGCAUAACAAUGUAUGGCUGCAGACUGCCUUGUGAUUCUCCCAGGUCUUCAACAAACAAAAUGCCUUACGAAGGGCUAAAUUAUUUUAAAACAACCACCCAUAUUUUAAGAGCCAAGAAACAAAACAGUCUACUUCCUCCACAUCCUCCCGAUUCUGAACUGGUGAUGACAUAGUCAAUGGGUGACUAGAAAGAAAAACAGAAAUUAAAUACAUUUUGGACAUCAAGAGAUGCUCACUUUGAAUCCUUGAAAGAGGAAAUCACAUCUUAUUUUUAACUCUCGUGUAUUUUUGAAAUGUUAAGAAUAUUUCUGUAACAAG
rnacentral:lncRNA from 1 species